rnacentral:rRNA from 1 species
GACAGAGGGGGCAAGCGUUGCUCGGAAUUACUGGGCGUAAAGGGCGCGUAGGCGGGAUGGCAAGUCGGUCGUGAAAUCCUUCGGCUCAACCGAAGAACGUCGAUCGAUACUGCUGUUCUUGAGGGUUGCAGAGGAGACUGGAAUUCCUGGUGUAGCGGUGAAAUGCGCAGAUAUCAGGAAGAACACCCGUGGCGAAGGCGGCUCUCUGGGACGGUACUGACGCUGAGACGCGAAAGCGUGGGGAGCGAACAGG